UACAGAGGUCCCGAGCGUUGUUCGGAUUCAUUGGGCGUAAAGGGUGCGUAGGUGGCGCUGUAAGUGGGGUGUGAAAUCCCGGGGCUUAACCCCGGGACUGCAUUCCAUACUGCGGUGCUUGAGGACUGGAGAGGAGACUGGAAUUUACGGUGUAGCAGUGAAAUGCGUAGAGAUCGUAAGGAAGACCAGUGGCGAAGGCGGGUCUCGUGGACAGUUCCUGACACUGAGGCACGAAGGCCAGGGGAGCAAACGGG
rnacentral:rRNA from 1 species